CCUACGGGAGGCAGCAGUGGGGAAUAUUGCACAAUGGGGGAAACCCUGAUGCAGCGACGCCGCGUGAGUGAAGAAGUAUUUCGGUACGUAAAGCUCUAUCAGCCGGGAAGAAAAUGACGGUACCUGACGAAGAAGCCCCGGCUAACUACGUGCCAGCAGCCGCGGUAAUACGGAGGGGGCAAGCGGUAACCGGAUUUACUGGGUGUAAAGGGGGCGUAGACGGCAGCGCAAGUCUGAAGGGAAAUCCCAUGGCUUAACCCUGGAACUGCUUUGGAAACUGUGCAGCUGGAGUGCAGGAGAGGUAAGCGGAAUUCCUGGUGUAGCGGUGAAAUGCGUAGAUAUUAGGAGGAACACCAGUGGCGAAGGCGGCUUACUGGACUGUAACUGACGUUGAGGCUCGAAAGCGUGGGGAGCAAACAGGAUUAGAUACCCGUGUAGUC
rnacentral:rRNA from 1 species